rnacentral:rRNA from 2 species
GGGGUACACGAGUGGCGAACGGGUGAGUAACACGUGGGUAAUCUGCCCUGCACUUCGGGAUAAGCCUGGGAAACUGGGUCUAAUACCGGAUAUGAGCUCUGGCCGCAUGGUCUGGGGUUGGAAAGUUUUUCGGUGCAGGAUGAGCCCGCGGCCUAUCAGCUUGUUGGUGGGGUAAUGGCCUACCAAGGCGACGACGGGUAGCCGGCCUGAGAGGGUGAUCGGCCACACUGGGACUGAGACACGGCCCAGACUCCUACGGGAGGCAGCAGUGGGGAAUAUUGCACAAUGGGCGGAAGCCUGAUGCAGCGACGCCGCGUGGGGGAUGACGGUCUUCGGAUUGUAAACCCCUUUCAGUAGGGACGAAGCGCAAGUGACGGUACCUGCAGAAGAAGCACCGGCCAACUACGUGCCAGCAGCCGCGGUAAUACGUAGGGUGCGAGCGUUGUCCGGAAUUACUGGGCGUAAAGAGCUCGUAGGCGGUUUGUCACGUCGUCUGUGAAAUCCUCCAGCUUAACUGGGGGCGUGCAGGCGAUACGGGCAGACUUGAGUACUACAGGGGAGACUGGAAUUC